rnacentral:pre_miRNA from 1 species
UUUUGGGGGUGGGGGUCCCUCAGCCCAGAUUGCAAGAGGGCACAGGCCAGGCCGAGGUACCACACCAGUGUACA